CAGCAGCCGCGGUAAAACGAAGGGUGCAAGCGUUAAUCGGAAUUAUUGGGCGUAAAGGGUGCGUAGGCGGUUUGACAAGUCUUAUGUGAAAUCUCUGGGCUCAACCCAGAGUCUGCAUGGGAAACUGUCGAGCUUGAGUAUGGGAGAGGUGAGUGGAAUUUCCGGUGUAGCGGUGAAAUGCGUAGAUAUCGGAAGGAACACCUGUGGCGAAAGCGGCUCACUGGACCAUUACUGACGCUGAUGCACGAAAGCUAGGGGAGCAAACAGGAUUAGAGACCCCAGUAGUCCCUGUCUCUUAUAC
rnacentral:rRNA from 1 species